rnacentral:rRNA from 1 species
GGCGGAAUGCUUUACACAUGCAAGUCGAGCGGCAGCGCGGGGCAACCUGGCGGCGAGCGGCGAACGGGUGAGUAACAUAUCGGAACGUAUCCAUAAGUGGGGGACAACCUAGCGAAAGUUAGGCUAAUACCGCAUACGCUCGAGAGAGGAAAGUGGGGGAUCGCAAGACCUCACGCUUUAGGAGCGGCCGAUAUCAGAUUAGCUAGAUGGUGAGGUAAAGGCUUACCAUGGCGACGAUCUGUAGCUGGUCUGAGAGGAUGAUCAGCCACACUGGGACUGAGACACGGCCCAGACUCCUACGGGAGGCAGCANUGGGGAAUUUUGGACAAUGGGGGCAACCCUGAUCCANCCAUUCCGCGUGAGUGAANAANGCCUUCGGGUUGUAAAGCUCUNUUGUUCGGGACGAAACAGUUUUGGCGAAUACCC